rnacentral:rRNA from 1 species
AUUGAACGCUGGCGGCAGGCUUAACACAUGCAAGUCGAACGAGUGGCGGACGGGUGAGUCAUGCUUGGGAAUCUAGCUUAUGGGGGGGGAUAACUACGGGAAACUGUAGCUAAUCCCGCUUAACAUAGGAUGAGCCCAAGUGGGAUUAGGUAGUUGGGUGGGUAAAGGCUAACCAAGCCGACGAUCUCUAGCUGGUCUGAGAGGAUGACCAGCCAAACUGGGACUGAGACACGGCCCAGACUCCUACGGGAGGCAGCAGUGGGGAAUAGUGCGCAAUGGGGGCAACCUGACGCAGCCAUGCCGCGUGAAUGAAGAAGGCCUUCGGGUUGUAAAGUUCUUUCGGUAGCGAGGCGUUAACUACAGAAGAAGCACCGGCUAACUCCGUGCCAGCCGCCGCGGUAAUUC